rnacentral:rRNA from 1 species
UUGACUGGGGCGGUCUCCUCCUAAAGAGUAACGGAGGAGCACGAAGGUUAGCUAAUCCUGGUCGGACAUCAGGAGGUUAGUGCAAAGGCAUAAGCUAGCUUGACUGCGAGCGUGACGGCGCGAGCAGGUGCGAAAGCAGGUCUUAGUGAUCCGGUGGUUCUGAAUGGAAGGGCCAUCGCUCAACGGAUAAAAGGUACUCCGGGGAUAACAGGCUGAUACCGCCCAAGAGUUCAUAUCGACGGCGGUGUUUGGCACCUCGAUGUCGGCUCAUCACAUCCUGGGGCUGAAGUAGGUCCCAAGGGUAUGGCUGUUCGCCAUUUAAAGUGGUACGCGAGCUGGGUUUAGAACGUCGUGAGACAGUUCGGUCCCUAUCUGCCGUGGGCGCUGGAGAAUUGAGGGGGGCUGCUCCUAGUACGAGAGGACCGGAGUGGACGCAUCACUGGUGUUCGGGUUGUCAUGCCAAUGGCACUGCCCGGUAGCUAAAUGCGGAAGAGAUAAGUGCUGAAAGCAUCUAAGCACGAAACUUGCCCCGAGAUGAGUUCUCCCUGACCCUUUAAGGGUCCUGAAGGAACGUUGAAGACGACGACGUUGAUAGGCCGGGUGUGUAAGCGCAGCGAUGCGUUGAGCUAACCGGUACUAAUGAACCGUGAGG